AUGGUUAUUGUGUUGAUACCUAAAGGUAAUGACCGAUGGAGCCUAAAAGACUUCAGACCAAUAAGCUUACGCAACAUGAUUUAUAAGGUGAUCUCUAAGUGCUUAGUCAACCGGAUGCGACCCUUCCUAGAUGAGCUAAUCUCAGAAACACAAAGUGCUUUUAUCCCGGGGCGCAUGAUUACAGAUAAUGCACUGAUCCCUUUUGAGUGUUUUCACAAAAUUCAACAUGGUAAGGUGGCCUAG
rnacentral:rRNA from 1 species